ACGGUGAUACCCCAACACUACACAAGUCAUAUCUGUACGAGAAAUUGAAAAAAAAAGACGUACGUCCCACCCACUUGCGGUUGACGCUAAUACCGGACGUACCAGCGUAUUAUCAAUAUUUUACCGUAGAGCUAAAAAAUAGCCGAAAAACGGCCACGUUCAAAAAUACGUACCGGGGCCAAAGAAAAUUGUAGAGAAUUUUUCAAAAAAGCAAAAUGAAGUGUGGUAGAGACGAUGAGGUAUGCUGCUACAGCUCAAAUGCAGCGAUAUUCGUGAAGUGGAAAACAUGUGACUGGGUGAUCAAUCUUGAGUGCACAGCACGGAGAUGCUUUGUGAUGUAAGGGGAUCCAGACCAGACUGUUCAGCCAUAUGGAAGCGAAUGAUAGAAGACACUCGGACGCUGGUAACCGGUUCAGA